GGUCAUGAGCGUCAGCGACAAGCCCUGGCUCGCUGACCGGCAACCCUCGCUCCGCGGUGGGGUGCUCCAGGUGACGACCGGACCGGACGACUCACUCCGCACGAGCAGUAC
rnacentral:ncRNA from 1 species